rnacentral:RNase_P_RNA from 1 species
GAAGUAAAUCGAGCAGUCGCCCCCGCACUUAUCUAAAAAUCUACUCCAUAUCUCAUUUAUUGGUGAGUUUGUUUUUUAGAUGAGUGCGGGGGAGGAAAGUCCGGACUCCGUAAGGCAGGGUGUCCCGCACUUAUCUAAAAAUCUACUCACAAAUAAGUGAGUUUGUUUUUUAGAUGAGUGCGGGAUAAAGGUAACUUUAGGAAAGUGCCACAGAAAAGAAAACCCCCCGACGUGUCGGGGGAAAGCUGAAACGGUGAGGUAAGAGCUCACCAGUUCUAUCGCAAGGUAGAUGCUUGGUAAACCCCACCCGGAGCAAGAUCAAAUAGGGAUGAGUCGCCUGCUCAUAAUCCCAGGUAGAUCGCAUAGAUAGAUGGCUGUUUUAACAGAAUCCGGCUUACAGAUUUGCUUCAUGU